CAGAAGUAAGUGCCAUUGCCUCUAAUGCAGCUCAAGGGGCCCUUCCAAACCUGAGGCCCUCAACCAACCUGGAAGCAGGCCUGAAAAUACAAAUAGGUUUUCAACAGCUAUCAGGAAUUUGGGGUGACCUGUGUAUGAUCAGGUUCACUAACUUAGGUUUACGUGCCAGAAAAUGUGGUCUCAUGCUGUAUCAUGUUAUGUGGAAGAGCCAUUAAGUGCCUACACACCCUGGAAAAGUCAACCACAUAUCCAAAAUUCAGCACCAGAGCCAGUCACUUUAACACAGAAGAGUUCAUCACUGCUAGUUCCCUCCUGUGACACCGUUUUUGAGAAGGAAAAAAUUACUAUAUGCAUGAAGCACUUCUGGGACAGCACUGGGUAAUCAACUUACCUGGAAGUAUGCAGACAUGAAAGUAUUGUCUACCGCAAGAAUAACGCCUUUAUGCUUAUGGACAAUGUCAGCGCAACCUUGAAUAUCAACAACUUUCAGCGUUGGAUUUGAAGGAGUUUCAAUCCAGACAAGCUGUUUAUUUUGAGAAGACAGACAGUAAAAGUUAUGAAAUGA